rnacentral:rRNA from 1 species
UACGUAGGGGGCGAGCGUUAUCCGGAAUUACUGGGCGUAAAGCGCACGCAGGCGGUUCGCCAAGUUUGGAGUGACAGUUGUCGGCUCAACCGACAAAGGACUUCAAAAACUGGUGAACUUGAGGACGAGAGAGGAACAUGGAACUCCAGGUGUAGUAGUGAAAUGCGUAGAUAUCUGGAAGAACACCAAUGGCGAAGGCAAUGUUCUGGCUCGUUUCUGACGCUCAGGUGGCGAAAAGCCAGGGGAGCGAACGGG